UAAAUAAAAAAACCUCCUUGACUUGUCAGGUUCAAUAUCGUGUAUGGAAAGAGUCUGCCGCAGGAGGCACUUAUUUAAAUGUCUUCCUUUUUUAAGCUACAGCUAAUUUGUAUAAUUUGGUAAUUUUCUUUGAAUGAUCAAGUCGCCUGUCUGCAGCACGUUCCCCUUGCUGGACUCAAAUUGAAAACAAGUACUGGGAGCGGAGCUGCCCACUGAUUAAAAGCGAUCGCUUUAAGUAUAAUGUGGACGAGGAGCAGCGAGUGUUGCGAUCUAUGAAGGAGAGUAAAUUGUUUUAUCAGUCGAUAGUUUGUUGGCCUGGCCUUGUUGUUGCUUGAUUUGGUUACGCCCCUUACCCGGCUGCCUGCCGACCCUGCAUCUAGAUACAUGGCUAAUAAUCAGGCAGACGGAAAUGUGUCUGUAGGCACAAAGUGUGGCCAUUAAGCGAUACAUUAUAAUUAACUGAACAAGCCAAGGCGAAACGCGUGGAGUGAAAGGAAGUGGAGUCAAGCCAAGUCCAGUUCCGAACGGAAUGCAGCUGCCAACGGAAAUUGUUGAUAAGAGUCGUAUAUAGUAUGAUAACAUCAUCAAUAGUCUUGCCUGGGGUCUAUACAAUUAUAUAAAUUAUAUGCAGCA